GCGAACAGAUGAGAAGCUUGCUUCUCUGAUGUUAGCGGCGGACGGGUGAGUAACACGUGGGUAACCUACCUAUAAGACUGGGAUAACUCCGGGAAACCGGGGCUAAUACCGGAUAAUAUUUUGAACCGCAUGGUUCAAUAGUGAAAGACGGUUUCGGCUGUCACUUAUAGAUGGACCCGCGCCGUAUUAGCUAGUUGGUAAGGUAACGGCUUACCAAGGCGACGAUACGUAGCCGACCUGAGAGGGUGAUCGGCCACACUGGAACUGAGACACGGUCCAGACUCCUACGGGAGGCAGCAGUAGGGAAUCUUCCGCAAUGGGCGAAAGCCUGACGGAGCAACGCCGCGUGAGUGAUGAGGGUCUUCGGAUCGUAAAACUCUGUUGUUAGGGAAGAACAAAUUUGUUAGUAACUGAACAAGUCUUGACGGUACCUAACCAGAAAGCCACGGCUAACUACGUGCCAGCAGCCGCGGUAAUACGUAGGUGGCAAGCGUUAUCCGGAAUUAUUGGGCGUAAAGCGCGCGUGGGCGGUUUCUUAAGUCUGAUGUGAAAGCCCACGG
rnacentral:rRNA from 1 species